GGGGCCGACGUUGCUCGGAAUGAUUGGGCGUAAAGAGCUCGUAGGCGGCGUGUCGCGUCUGCUGUGAAAGACCGGGGCUUAACUCCGGUUCUGCAGUGGAUACGGGCAUGCUAGAGGUAGGUAGGGGAGACUGGAAUUCCUGGUGUAGCGGUGAAAUGCGCAGAUAUCAGGAGGAACACCGGUGGCGAAGGCGGGUCUCUGGGCCUUACCUGACGCUGAGGAGCGAAAGCAUGGGGAGCGAACAGGAUUAGAUACCCUGGUAGUCCAUGCCGUAAACGUUGGGCGCUAGGUGUGGGGACUUUCCACGGUUUCCGCGCCGUAGCUAACGCAUUAAGCGCCCCGCCUGGGGAGUACGGCCGCAAGGCUAAAACUCAAAGGAAUUGACGGGGGCCCGCACAAGCGGCGGAGCAUGUUGCUUAAUUCGACGCAACGCGAAGAACCUUACCAAGGUUUGACAUCACCCGUGGACCUGUAGAGAUACAGGGUCAUUUAGUUGGUGGGUGACAGGUGGUGCAUGGCUGUCGUCAGCUCGUGUCGUGAGAUGUUGGGUUAAGUCCCGCAACGAGCGCAACCCUUGUUCCAUGUUGCCAGCACGUAAUGGUGGGGACUCAUGGGAGACUGCCGGGGUCAACUCGGAGGAAGGUGGGGACGACGUCAAGUCAUCAUGCCCCUUAUGUCUUGGGCUGCAAACAUGCUACAAUGGCCGGUACAAUGGGCGUGCGAUACCGUAAGGUGGAGCGAAUCCCUUAAAGCCGGUCUCAGUUCGGAUUGGGGUCUGCAACUCGACCCCAUGAAGGUGGAGUCGCUAGUAAUCGCGGAUCAGCAACGCCGCGGUGGAAUACGUUCCCGGGGCCUUGUACACACCGCCCCGUCACGUCAUGAAAGUCGGCAACACCCGAAACUUGCGGCCUAACCCUUCGGGGAGGGAGUGAGUGAAAGGUGGGGCUGGCGAUUGGGACGAACUAGAAAGGGGGCCCCCCCAUAUAAAAAAAAGCGGGGGGGGAAGGGG
rnacentral:rRNA from 1 species